GAUGAACACUGGCGGCGUGCCUAAUACAUGCAAGUCGAGCGAACAGACGAGGAGCUUGCUCCUCUGACGUUAGCGGCGGACGGGUGAGUAACACGUGGAUAACCUACCUAUAAGACUGGGAUAACUUCGGGAAACCGGAGCUAAUACCGGAUAAUAUAUUGAACCGCAUGGUUCAAUAGUGAAAGACGGUUUUGCUGUCACUUAUAGAUGGAUCCGCGCCGCAUUAGCUAGUUGGUAAGGUAACGGCUUACCAAGGCAACGAUGCGUAGCCGACCUGAGAGGGUGAUCGGCCACACUGGAACUGAGACACGGUCCAGACUCCUACGGGAGGCAGCAGUAGGGAAUCUUCCGCAAUGGGCGAAAGCUUGACGGAGCAACGCCGCGUGAGUGAUGAAGGUCUUCGGAUCGUAAAACUCUGUUAUUAGGGAAGAACAAAUGUGUAAGUAACUAUGCACGUCUCGACGGUACCUAAUCAGAAAGCCACGGCUAACUACGUG
rnacentral:rRNA from 1 species